AAGGCUUGACAUGCACCGGAAACUGCCAGAGAUGGUGGCCCCGUAAGGUCGGUGCACAGGUGGUGCAUGGUUGUCGUCAGCUCGUGUCGUGAGAUGUUGGGUUAAGUCCCGCAACGAGCGCAACCCUUGUCCCAUGUUGCCAGCGGGUUAUGCCGGGGACUCAUGGGAGACUGCCGGGGUCAACUCGGAGGAAGGUGGGGAUGACGUGGCGCAACUAAC
rnacentral:misc_RNA from 1 species